AGCACAGAGACAGUGGCAGGGUCAGUCCUGGUGCCCAGCCCCCCCACUGAUUUCUGUCUUUGCAGCAGGCACGUGCUGGAGACAGGAGAGCGAUUCAUCGUGACACAUGUCUGCUUCGGCCCCACAGUGUGUUGGACGCUCCACAUCCCGGGACUAGAGACAAACAGUGGAGCACUGAGCCAGGAGACACAGGAUAAAAAAGAUGUCUAAUGCAAGCAGAUGCCUGCCCUCAGAGGGAUUCCCAACUGUUAAGAAGGGGAGACGCCUGCCCUGGGCACAAGCCCAUCGCGAGGGAGGCUGACCUGACUGCCACGGUGCCUCCAUGGGGACGUCGGCCUGAGGAGGUGGUCCAGAGGCAGGCGCUGGAAUGAGCAGGGAGGGUGGACGGCGUGCAGGAGCCUCGGCCGGCUGCCAGCUGCAACAAGCCCCCUCUUCACCAGCUGGUGCACGGCCACCAACCGUCCUGGUCCGCCAUUUGUGGGACUCGCCUCGCUAAGGAGACCCACCUUACAGUCAUGUCCUAGCAGGUGGUGGUGUAACAGUAGGGGCAGCAGUGUAGAGUCAGGAUGGAGGUGGUGGCCACACGCCUGACAUCCGGGAAACAUUGGCAACGACCUGGUGCAGGCAGGCCCCGCCCCUUCCAGGUGUGACCCGGACCAUUUAGUGUGCCUAGGACUGGCUUUCCAACCAAACCAUGAGGAAAGGGAUAAGAAAUGGCUACUGCCCCUACAGUGGGGUGAGCUCAAGGCAGGCCAACUUCCUCCUUCACCCAGUAAGAACUGGAUUUAGCAAUACAAACAUUUCCUAAAUCUGGGACUGCUAUUAGCCUCAUAAUGAAACAGGAACCACUGUAUACAGAAAUAGCUAUGAAGAGAUUACAGAGCCUUGCAGUCCCAGACUUUUGGCCAUGUGCUAAUGACUGAAAAAAGGAAUUCCAUUUG